rnacentral:rRNA from 1 species
CAGCCGCCGCGGGAAUACGUAGGUGGCAAGCGUUGUCCGGAAUUAUUGGGCGUAAAGGGCUCGCAGGCGGUUUCUUAAGUCUGAUGUGAAAGCCCCCGGCUCAACCGGGGAGGGUCAUUGGAAACUGGGAAACUUGAGUGCAGAAGAGGAGAGUGGAAUUCCACGUGUAGCGGUGAAAUGCGUAGAGAUGUGGAGGAACACCAGUGGCGAAGGCGACUCUCUGGUCUGUAACUGACGCUGAGGAGCGAAUGCGUGGGGAGCGAACAGGAUUAGAUACCCGAGUAGUCCCUGUCUCUUAUAC